CAUGGAUACAUGAAGGACUCAAAGUGGAAAAGGAAAACGGUUUCCUAAGUUAAAGGUGAUUGGAUCCUAGGACGAGGUGCUCCUUCUUGUACAUUUCUCGGUAGGUUUAAUGUGACACUAAGUGUUAUCAAUCGUACCUAGAGUCACUCCGCUAAUGGUCAAGGUCUAAUUAUGUGUAUGUGAAUAUUUAAUGUGAACAUUAAGAAUCAUUGUUAAUCUAUUAAUGAAUAUAUUGGUGGAUGAUGCCAUUAUGAAUGUAUGAUUGGGUUUUAUGAAUCAA